CUCGAUAACGAACGAGACCUUAACCUGCUAACUAGUCAGUCUGGCUACGGCUGGACUCUGACUUCUUAGAGGGACUAUCAGCGUCUAGCUGAUGGAAGUUUGAGGCAAUAACAGGUCUGUGAUGCCCUUAGAUGUUCUGGGCCGCACGCGCGCUACACUGACAGAGCCAGCGAGUUCUUUAUUCCUUGGCCGGAAGGCUCUGGGUAAUCUUGUGAAACUCUGUCGUGCUGGGGAUAGAGCACUGCAAUUAUUGCUCUUCAACGAGGAAUUCCUAGUAAGCGUGAGUCAUCAGCUCGCGUUGAUUACGUCCCUGCCCUUUGUACACACCGCCCGUCGCUAAUACCGAUUGAAUGGAUG
rnacentral:rRNA from 1 species